AGUGAACGCUGGCGGUAGGCCUAACACAUGCAAGUCGAACGGCAGCACAGUAAGAGCUUGCUCUUACGGGUGGCGAGUGGCGGACGGGUGAGGAAUACAUCGGAAUCUACUUUUUCGUGGGGGAUAACGUAGGGAAACUUACGCUAAUACCGCAUACGACCUACGGGUGAAAGCAGGGGAUCUUCAGACCUUGCGCGAUUGAAUGAGCCGAUGUCGGAUUAGCUAGUUGGCGGGGUAAAGGCCCACCAAGGCGACGAUCCGUAGCUGGUCUGAGAGGAUGAUCAGCCACACUGGAACUGAGACACGGUCCAGACUCCUACGGGAGGCAGCAGUGGGGAAUAUUGGACAAUGGGCGCAAGCCUGAUCCAGCCGUACCGCGUGGGUGAAGAAGGCCUUCGGGUUGUAAAGCCCUUUUGUUGGGAAAGAAAAGCAGCAGGUUAAUACCCCGCUGUUCUGACGGUACCCAAAGAAUAAGCACCGGCUAACUUCGUG
rnacentral:rRNA from 1 species